ACAACUGGCUAUAACUCUAGUUUCAGGGUAUCUGCCACCCUCGCUUGGCCUAAGGUGCUGUUUCAUGCAUGAACUCAGGAAGGCUCACAUAUAUACAUGUAAAUAAAAAAUAAAUAGUUAAAGGGGGAGGAGAAAUCCACAUUUGCCAAGACUCUUAAUUUACUACAGAAACUUGGGUUUCUGUGGUUUUCAUGUUAAGAUUUCAUGCACCAAUGAUAGUCUAACUCCGAGUCAUAUGUAGUUUUAUACUUGGUGUAAGUAAUGGGGUAUAUCUAGGCAAGAGAUGCUGCAACAAAUACCCCGACCCACCAUUCCCAUAAACGGUAGAAAGAGCCCAGAAGUUCCUCAUGGCUUAUUGGAAGUGUAGAAGGGUUUUUUUUGAGCAAGUGAAGUUGUAGGGACAGUGGCCAAAUGUCUAGCUACAGCCUGUUGUAUCCAGUAAGUAAUUCCCUAAUGAGCCAUCUAAACAAGCUAAGUACAGACAUUUGUUGAAAGAUGAAGAACAUCUUAACUAUCUGGACUCAUUUUCAUAUUUCUACUACAAGUUUUACUCUAUAUAUUUAGCGAAAAUAUUGAUUAUUAACAGAUGAGUUCGAGAGAUAAAGGCUGAGUGUGUCUGUAAAACCAUUGCAAACAAAGGCUAUAAAUGAGCAGUGAUACUACGGAUUGUCAAAUGUAAGGAUUUUCAUUAUUAUGUUUUGACAGAGGAUCUCAGUUGAUGUCCUAAAUGCUGAUUAUUCAUUUGUUCUUCCAUUUACUGAGUAUCAUGGUUAUCACUGAAUAAAGACAUAAAGUGCUGUUUUUAAUAUCUAAGUAGGACUAUUGGAGAAGGAUGUAGGUACCCACCUCAAUGAGUUGGAUAGUGUUAAAUAAGGCAAGGCUGUAGUAAGGACAUGAGAAAGAAACCUCAUUAUAGUCUUAACCUCUAGUGUUAGUAAUCUCUCCUCAUAUUACCUCCUCUACUCUACCCUCCAUUCCCUACCUCAAUUUAACCCUUUUUGUUCCAUCACUCCCCUUUAAAUCUUUACGUUGCUGGGUUCUGUCUUCAUUGCGUAGACACAUACAUUCUCAUCAUCCAUUUAUCAGUUGAGGGACAUCUAGGCUGUUUCCAUUUCCUGGCUCUCAUGAACAGCGUAGAGAUGAGCAAGCAUCUCUACACUAGGGUACAGAGACACUGGGUGGUAUAGCUACAUCAUGUGGUAGAUCCACUUCUAGGAGAAAGCUCCACACUGGCUCCCACAGAGCCUCCGCCACUUUGUACUCCCACCAGCAGUGAGUGAGUGUUUCUCUCCCACCACUUCCAUGCCAGUACUCAUUGUAAUUUUGUUUUCUUUUUGAUCUUAGCCCUUCUGGUUGAGUUAAGCUAAAACUUCAACAGUUCUGUUUUUUCCUAGUGGCUAAAAAAUGUUAGUUAGCCACAAAAUAGUCCUACCCUUAAUGCAAUUCGCUAUUGGACAUUUUAAUUAAUUCUCUCGACUGUUCUAUUCCUCCACUUAGAGGACUUGCAAACGUUACAGCCAGCAGCUCUUGCUCAAAGCUAUGCCUCCCUCCCACACUGACCAUCUUCAACUUCCUAUACUCAAAGGCCAUUGGAUUAUAUCAACAGAGCCAACUCACCUCAGCUCUUAAUUCAUCAACUCAGAUCCCCAUGCCUUCCUAUUGAGAUUCUUUCUUCUGUCAUAAAUAAUCCCUCUCCUCUCCAUGAAUCUUUGCAGCGUGUCCACAGUGUCACCAAGUCUACAUAUUCUCUGAUAUUCUGGCUAAAUCUCUUGACCUCCAACUGGUCCUUGGCAGUUCUCAGCCAUGCCGUUGUCCCAACUCCUGAAAAAUCUGUGGACAAACCAGGCGGAACAGAUGAAAAUAAUAACGGGCAAUCCUUUGUUUUUCUAACAAAUCCUGAAGGGAAAGUUGAGUUCUAUCCCCAGGCACCACAGUGGACUAAUUUUAUGUAGCCGAGAGUGGUGGUAACGAGGGCUAUUCUUGCUAGAGAAAACUCAAAUACUGCCUAGCUCUUAGACCUCCUCUGUCUGAUAGCAGUUUAAAUACAGUUGCACGUUUUCUAAUCUGCCCUCUAGGUGCUGUAUGUCUCACAUUCUUCUUUAGUGUUGAAGAGCCAAGACUGAGACACGUCCACUUGUGUGGGGGCCUUGGAAAUGUAUUUUACACAGGGACUCAGGCUGUCAGCACACGGCCCUCUAUCCAUGGGAGGCAAUCCGUAGCUGGAGUGCAGAGUGAAUCAUCUCUUGUUCAUUCUGUAACAUCUUUAUGGAAUUUAAAGAUGUUUGAAAUCUCCUGCUUGACUCCAGUAAACAAAAGAAAGGGGCGUUUGCUCUGGGUUAGUGCCCUUCCACUUCUCGUCUGUCCCUAAGUGUCUGAUCCUUUUUUCUUUAGAAAAUUAUUCCUCUUCUCCUUGGUGAGAUUGUCAAUCAAGGUACACUGACUUCCUCUUGGGGAAAACGGUCUUUCCUCUGGGGAUGCUGGAUGUGUGGGCUUUGAGUCUGAAGUUAAUAGAUAGAAGAAUAAGAAAAGCAAACAAGUCAACAAAACCAAAACAAAACAAAAUAAAAAAAAACCGAGCCUCUUUGACAGUGUCACCUGCCAUCAGAAGUGUGCUGACAAAACCGUCACUCAGCUUUCCUGAGCUGAGCUCUGCCCACUCACCGUGUGUCACCCAUGGCAGGGUCAUCACAGGUUUGGGACCUCCCUAUGUCCUGAUGACGUUUGGUUAAAUUGCCCACGACUUUCUUGUAUCGUUUAUAUAGAAAUACUGCAUGUAAAAAUGUCUCCAGUUAGAUUAUGGGCGAUUUAAGCAGUAAUUACUUACUCUGAAUCUACCUCUAAUCUCGAUUUCUUAACACACAGAUAUUCGUUUUAAUAUUCAGAGUAGAAUUCUGAAGGAGCUAUUUAAACAUAAGUCAGUACUCUGAGGGAAGCAGUUUUAUGGGACCGCAGUUGUAUGCAGCAACAGCACUGUCCCUGCUUAGCAGAGCAACAGGACAGUGUAUUCAGCCACCCCUACAGCCAAACAUGUUCUAGAACUGGAACAGGGAACAAGUGACAGGUGAGUCAUAGGCAGUGCUUUCUACUUCCUCGAGGAAAUAUAAUCCAGCCUGGUUUUCCUCUUCGUUUCCUCUGCUUAGAGAAAGAAAUGUUCAGAAAAAGAUUGUUCACUCCAGGGAAGAGCAAGAAUGGCCAUGUAAAGACCAAGGUGGCAGAAACUCAGCCUUGUUCUCAGGGAAGCCAUGGGAGUCACAGGUAUUGAAGAACCGAACAACCCCUCAGUUCUAACCAGCCACUUCCGAAGGAAGAUUUAUUCAGUAUGGCUAUAUCUUCUGAUUUUACCAGAAGUCAUUAGAAAAAAAAUGUUUUUAAUUAAAUGUAUAGUAAUAUCUUUAUUAUAUACUAAAAUGAAUUUAAAAAAUUAAUUCAGUCUUCAUUCCAAGGAAACCAAUGCACCCUUUCCUCUUAGGCUACAAAGAAACAAAGUCCUGAUAUUUGAUGCAAAUUUGAGGUCUUCAAAACUCUUAGGAGAAUACUAUUGCAAUCUGUUUUUAACACAUCAAACUCAUAAACCCUAACAGGAUGCCUCGUUGUGGAAUGAAUACCAUGCAAGAGAUACCAUGCAAGGUCCUCGAGGGCCUAACUUUGCUGGAGGAUGCAUGGGGAUGGUGUGAAGCACUCUUCGGUUGCUGGUAGCCUGGGAGCCCAGGUGUACUUUGAUAGGUUGUCAAGGCAAAACACUCUGCGGGACUGUGCAUUUAGAUGCUCUGUGAUGUGUAAGAACAGACUAAGGGGCACUUAUUGUUGAUACAAGUUUAUGAAGCUUACUCAUGUCAGGUCCUGCAGUCCCCAGAGCUUAGCAGUGCUGUUAUGCCCAUGUCACAUCACUUUGGGGACACUACAAUUCACUGCUGGAUUCCUGAGGAACAUCCACCAUCUUGUCACGGAGGACCUCCAAGCUUAGAAGAGAGUAAGAUUGACACCACUGUCUGGAUGCAUUAGGCAAACUAUAGUGGCUUCGGACAGGCAGUUUACAAAAUAUGUCAGCCUCACUUAUACCACACACAUACACACACACAGAGACAUACACACACACAUACAGAGAGAGAGAGAGACAGAGAGAGACAGAGAGAGAGGAAAUAUAUAUGGUAAAUCUUAUAUGGUAAGUCUAUAUCUGUAUCUUUAUCUAUAUCGGAAAGUGGUAUUGUUUUUCCCUGUGACUCCCAAGUUCAGGUCAAAAGUAGUUUCUGACACACGUUGCUUUUAGGAAAAGCUGGAAGUAGAAGGGGAAACCAGAGUGAGGAACUCAAUUGCCUUAGGAACAAGAUUAAAAUAAUCGUGGAAAUGAGUUAAUACAGCACAAAAAUCACCAAAUGUUACAACACUGUUAGUCUCAAAACACAGGAUAUAGAGGUCCAAGUGUGUCUGUGAACGCAGAACAGUCUGCUUGUUCAUGGAGAUCACUGUUUCCGUAAACACUAUCAUGCUAUUGGAGAAUUUUCUAAUAAACCUAAGUAGGAGGAAGGAAAGGUGGGGAGGGGCGGACCAUGGUUAGUUUAGAUGGGAGUCAGUUAUGCUGCGGCAGGAGAGUGACUGCAGACAGUGAUGACCUGCUCUGUAUCCAAGGCAGGAGAGUGACUGCAGACAGUGAUAACCUGCUCUGUAUCUGAGGCAGGAGAGUGACUGCAGACAGUGAUGACCUGCUCUGUAUCUGAGGCAGGAGACUGACUGCAGACAGUGAUGAUGACCUGCUCUGUAUCUGAGGCAGGAGAGUGACUGCAGACAGUGAUAACCUGCUCUGUAUCUGAGGCAGGAGAGUGACUGCAGACAGUGAUGACCUGCUCUGUAUCUGAGGCAGGAGACUGACUGCAGACAGUGAUGAUGACCUGCUCUGUAUCUGAGGCAGGAGAGUGACUGCAGACAGUGAUAACCUGCUCUGUAUCCUCUGCUAAAAGAAAAGACUUUGGUAAAUGAAAAAUAUUUGAGGGUCUAGAUGUGCUUAACCUGGUUCAAAUGGUAUGCAACGGAUUUGUGUAUUGAAUAUUAUCUAGUACCCCACAAAUAAAGGCAAACUAUGUUGUAUAUUGAAAUAGAGGCAAACUAUGGUUUUGUGUGGUCAGGUAAAAGUAAAUCUUAAAUGCCAGAAAGUUAAGCAUAGUUAAUUUGGAUUCUGGAAAUACACAAGCUGGGCGUGAAAGAAUAUGAUUGCUUGUCUUUGCUGUCCCCUGACAGAUCCAAGCGGUGCAGUGUGUAUGUGGGAUCUGAUGUGUUUUUAAAUCCGGAUUGUUCUUGCUCUCUUCUAUUAUUGGGGAUAAUAUACUGUUUCUAUUAGAAUAAAUCUGACUUCUUAUCAAUGCUGAACUUAUACAAGUCAGUUAUUUGAGUAGAUAAUGACAAUGAAGAAAUUAUUAUGUCCCUUAUGUCACUUUAAUUUUAAUGACAUCAAAACACCAGCUAAAUUGUGGAUACCAGUUAUUUUUGUUAUUGUUCCAGGAAACUAAGGUGAAAAUAUUAUUUUAAGUUGGCUGAAUGUCCUGAGUUCUGUAGGUGGAGCUGUCAGAACUUUAAACUUUAUCACAAGCUCUGCAUUUUUGCCACCUAGAGGGACCAUCUUGUUUUAAUGUGGCCUCAGACAGCAAUAGAGAGGAAUCUGCAGAGAGGACUCUGCAUGCUUCAGAGAGGGAUGGAACCUGGGAGAGGCUUUCAGAGGGAUGAGGAAGGACUGCAGACUGACUGCCAGUGAAUAAAGAAACUUGUGUGAGGGAAAAAGACAGAAAUUAAGAAGGCCCAAACACAGCUUGACUAGUUUCUGGGCUGGAGCAGGAAAGCAACAACAAUAGACCAUGUUGCUCAGCAGCGGUAAGUAAGUCCCUCGGGGAUUGCCCUGAGUGGCCCAUCCCACAAGGGUCAUUACGGUUACCAGAGGCUGGAUACCCUGAGCAGAGAUAACGAGAGAGAGUUUCCCAAUGUGUGGACCAGCAAGAAGUGGAUGAAGCUCAACUAGAGAAAUUAUCCUGCUUUUCUUUGUCACAACAGUUAGAUGGACAGGGUGUUUAUAGAAUGAUUCAGUCCAACUCCCCCUCCCUCCCUCCCUCUUCCCUCCCCCCCUCAUCUUUAUAGAAUCCUCAUUCCCUUCAAACAUGAAAACAGAAAUCAAUAAAUAAAAACAUCCCGGCUUUUCUGCAGACUCAUUGUCUCCCAAAGAGAUUAAGUAUCUCAUUUCUAGGUCUAAAGAAAAAGAGUUUAUUUUACCGGAGAUUUGAUGUGGGUCUGUUGCAGAGUGAGUAAGCAGGGGGAGGGAGGCUCUGAAGGCUUACUGACAUUUAUAUGCUGUUGCAGUUGGUACCCGGCUUAGCUCUUCCCAUCUUCUCCAGGAAGCGUCUUUAUUCCUCCCGACAGCAGGAUUAAUGGCUGUGCUCAGGAGAAAUCCAAGUGUCAAAAGUUUUCUUCUUCUUGCAGCACCCCCACCUUGUGCCAUCCAUGGUCUGGACAGCUUGGAUCUUCUCAGCACCAUCUGCAUGAUGGAGGACUCUCCUGUCUCCUGUGCGACCUUCAUGAGCACACUAAAUCCAAGUAAGCAGUGUGCAGGACCGAGGCUCACGGAGUAUGCAUCCUGCACACUCCUGCCUAGAGAAGUAAGGAGUGCCACGCCUUUCCAUGUAGCCACGCCUCCCUCUCAGCCUCUUUUGCACUUCUGCACAACCCCAAGGCACCCAUUUACAGACUUGGAGUCUGACUCAGGAACCAUUGUCUAGAAGAGGGACCCAGAAGUCAACACACCAUUUCUCUGCACUGCAGCAGUGAGGUGAGGCUUGAGCACAUCUGUGCAUGCCCAUCCAUUUCAAAAGUGAGGGGGAGCUAAGUGGAUAAUGAGGAGUCAUUCAGUAGAAUGGAGUCGUUAUCUUGAGGUCUGAAAGGAAAAAAAUACCUAGCGUAAAUUGGAAAUAAAAAAGAACCUAUGUGAAGUAUAA